UUUUGGCCUUUGAGCGUCAGUCUGGUUAAAGAAACACUCAUAUUGGGUUGUAUUUGGUCAUUUUCGGCUGUUAUCCAGACACCGAAAGUCGCCAUCUUACAAUUCGAAAUGUUGUCUGGGGUCGAUUUGUGGCUUCAGUGCAUCAUAACAAUUCCGGAAAUACCCACGUUGGGUGGUAUAAGGUCAUUUGCCGCUAUUUUUCAGGAUUUCGAAAUGGUAUUUGGAGACAUGCCAGAAGAAGAAAGGGUGUCGAAACAUUAUGGACAUGUUUGUUGUGCUUGAUUGGUUCUCGAGCUGUGCGUAAUUUGAGUUUCAUUUGUAUGGGACCCCUCCCUUAUAGUAGAGAGAAGGGUGUCAAACUAUUUUAUUUGUUACCCCUCAAAACAAUCAACCGCCAAAUUUGGUUCCAUUUAGUUGGUUAGUUCUCGAGAUAAGCAGAAAUUUGUGUUUCAUUUGUUAUGAACCCCUCCCUCACAGAAGAGGGAGGGGAGUCGAACCACUAUGGACAUACUUGUUACCUCUAAAAACAUUCACAUACCAAAUUUGGUUGUAUUUGGUUGAUUGGUUCUUGAGCUGUGAGAAAUUCGUAUUUCAUUUGUAUGGGACCCCUCCCUUCCAUAAGAGGGAAGGGUGUCGAACCAACAUGGACAUAUUUGCUACUCCUACAAACAUCCACAUGCCAAAUUUGGUUCCAUUUACUUGGUUAGUUUUCGAGAUGUGCAGGAAUUUGUGUUUCCUUUUUAUGGGACCCCUCCCUUGCAGAAGGGGGAGGGGUCUCGAAAUAUCUUAGUCACCUUUCCCGGCCCCUAAAACCCCUAUUUACAAAAUUUCACGCCGAUCGGUUCGGUAGUUUCCAAGCCUAUAUGAAUCAGACAGACAGACAGACAGACAGAGCUGCAUUUUUAUAUGUUUAGAUUAUAUUGCGCUACACAGUAGGCCUGGCCGUUGAAAAGAAAAAUGUAUGGAAAUCCUUUUUUACUUUAAACUUUUUUUAUUUAAAAAACUGGUGGAUAUCAUUUUCCAGGAUCCUUUCAAGUACUGGCUGUGUUAGUGUAGACUAGACUAGACUAGACUAGACUAGGGCAAAACUGAUGUAUGGUUACCAGUGCACUGCAGUGUUGUGUUUGAGAAUAUUUAACCAAAACGAGAAUUUUACAUUGACUUGUCGAAAACUUCCAAAAAGAUUUCGGUGUUCGAUUACAUGAAAAAGAAACCAGAUUUCAGUAUACCAAUAAAAUUUACUUUUGAUCUUGACACACACAAAAUACGCGAACGAAUUAGUAAACGUGAAUCUAAAAAUAGAACAAACACAGUUUUUUUGCCUCUUCUUGUUUCUUUUGUUAAAUUUAUGCUUCUAUCACUAAAGACCGCUGGAGAUGCGCUGCCGGUACCCGCAUAAAUGUCCCAUAUUGAUUUUUGUCACUUUUCAAUUAUCUUCGGGAAUCGACUUAACUCUCUAGUGCCUAGUGUCGCCCUUAGACGGUCUUCAGUUGAACCAUUAAAAGCGUCAGUCAAUACUUAAAAAAUGUUUAUAAAAAUGCAUAGUGAUUUUUUCGAAGUCCGUCUGAAAAUUAAUUUGGGCACUAGAGGGUUAAUUGUUAUCAUAUUUUCCGAAAAAAAUCUGAAAUUGAUACUUUGUAUGGAAAAAUAUGGAAGAAAUAUCAAGUUGUGUUUGUCCCAUAUUAAAAGUACCCGCAUUACAGUCCCAUAGUGCAUAGUGGUACAAACUGCGAACAUAUAAUUUUGCUCCAGAUUAGUGUAUAUCGGAUAAUUUUUGGCAUAUAGAAGUUUGUUUUUAACUAUAGACUAAUGUUUUUUUCAGUAGUACAAUCGACGUUGCCAGUGAUACUACCGGUUGCUGGUUGAAUUUAUAUGUGGUGGGACAAAAUGUGCGAGUACUUUUGAAAUGUGCCGCAUAUUCUGUCCAAUACUGUUUUUUUUUUCAAGUUAUAUAACGUAAAACCAAUUCCACCCAUGGUUUUUUGUUCUUAACGUUAAACUUGUGGUGUCAGGAAACUGUUCUGGUCAUUGGUCAGAUAAUUGCUGGAAAUCAAAAAAUUCACAGAUAAUAUUAAAUCGCCGUUUCCUCAAUAUGUUGUUUUUCAUUAUAUGACAGUUAUCUGGGUACCGUUAGUGCAUAUGUGUAUACAGUGUACACAUAAUUAGCACAGUGAAUGGCAUUAAAUGUCUUAUAUUGUGAAUUUUUAAGUGUUUUGGAGUUUUCGACAUACCUAAAUCGACCGUAAUACAGUUCUCGACGUUAAAUUACCUACGAGUCCCAAAAAAAUAAUGUAGAAUAUUAUCCCUGAUUACAACACAUCUCAAAAAUUAACAUAAUAGCGUUAAUGGUUAUCACGAUGCGCUAGAAACACUCUUAUACAACUACCCACUAAGAAUGUUAUUUUCAAAUAUAUUUUGUACGUUACUUGGGAUAGAAUUUUACAUCGAAUUAAACUAUUUCUCAUAAACAUUCAUGUCCUGUUACUUACCACGUAUGGUAUAAACAUAACGUAACAUCAGAUGGAACAAAUAGUAAUGAAUCACAUAUCUUAUACAGGCAUAAACAAUACUAAGAGAAGCGAAACAUUUCAACUGGACUAACAACAACAAUGACAUGAAAACCCCACCAGAACAGUGUCUGAUUGUAGUUGCGGUUCUCGGUUUGGAUUAGCAAUCGUCAGGCGACAGGAGAAACGAUUAUUUUUUAGAACUUCACGGCUUUGUUCGCCACAUACUAGCGCGCAUACUGGACGAAGAGCCGGCGAGCAAAGUGACAAAAAGAGAUGGGGGGCUUGCCGGGGCGUAGCGAAAACCUGAUCGCGUGUACACUCGUUUUCUUGCUCCGUUCCUGCAAUGCAGAGUCACAGCGCUUGCGUACUGAUUACGACCUUGACAGUGAACUUGAAUUUUCCUCUAUCAUACCUAUUGAGCGUUUGUUCGCUUGCUCGUUCGCUCACUUGCCAUUUGCCACCCGUGCCCCACAUUCAGCGCACCCGUCCGGCGUGCUUGGAGUCGUACACCUUCCUCAUCGCAUCACGUUUUUGUGCUUGAUAAUUUCAAUCUUCUUCCGUUCCCUGCCCCACUAACCCUGCUACCAUCGAUCCAACAAACGGCGAGCGACGCUUUGCUCACGUUGGUGGAUCACUCACUAACUGUCCAAGAGUUUAGUCGAUUUUAAAAACAUUGCUGUACUUUUUCGCUUGAACGCUGGCCUCCUUCCUGCCUAACACAGCCCACAUCUUCACGUUGACACCCGCACCAUCCGUUUCGGUCCGAUGCGGCAACGAGGGCUAACUUUUAUUCGCUUGAUGUGUCGUAUUUAUUCUGUUUUUAUUUUAUGUAUACUCUAUCAGCUCGAUUCAGUUAUCUCCCCGGGCCUGCCACAACUACUUCUCUGAUUAAGCCAGAGUAAUUGCUCGGAAAUGGGGCUUGCCUGCUUGUUAUAUAAAGAUUUUGACAGAGUCGUAUUGUUAUGUUUUUUUUCGCCCUUCUGUCAUAUCAGAUGUACCGCUCACUAGAUGCGGCUCAAUUGUUGUACCGUGCUGCACUUUCAAAUUUGCUUAAAAUACCAUCUGGGUAUUUUCAUGUCACACAAAAAUUAGGUUUACUUAAUGGAAAUGUACUUAAGCAUGUCCAUUAACAACCGAAGACUUCAAGUUGCAUUAAGUAUGUUACAAUCUAUAUUUUGUUUAGUAUUAGUAAACUCAUGUCACCUAGGCGAAUGGUAAUCACCAAACUUGAAAUAAAUUUUCAUAGCUUCACCCCUCUUGACAGUUCAGUUACCGGUCCCGCAAGCUGUUUUGGUCUUCCAAAAGUUGCUUGUUCGCAACUCGCAUCCUCUAACAGCAGAAUUGAAGAGAGAAAGUUCAAGGUCUAUUCCAUUCGUCCGUAUAACGCUAUCCGGAAAAAAGGGUGAACUCGCAUCACCCAUCAUAACGAAGAUCCUCGAGCGCGAGUUCCGAAGGACCCUCACUCGGAGGGUAUCCUGUGCCUUCUCCGACUGUUUUGGUUUCAUUCGUUUAUAUAUGCUCUCUCCCAGGUUCGCUGAGUGAUGACCACUGCACUAGUUUGAGUGAGUUCUCCUACUACCUAGUGCAGGUUGCUUUGUUGGCAAGUGGAAAAUUUUCAAGCUCAAGUUCAAUCGAUUUUUCUCGCAACCGGCUUUUCCCGGCUUCCCCACCGGCGUCCCUUGUGGACAAACAGACAAAAACAUGCGCAUUCACACACACAAAACAAGUGUACAUCACAAAGCUUUGCUACAUCACGAAAUGUCCUUCGAAGGAAAACAUCGAUCUGAAUUGACUCGAUUGAAGAAAGAAAACAAGCAAAAUUCAAGGGCAAACAUUUUGGCACCCUGUGAAUAUUGUCCGUGGCCGGCAUAUUUUAUGAUCUAGUCGAUUUUAGCUCCCAAGAACAGUAAUGUUGACGCAUACAACGGAGAACAUUCCAUCACGCGCUUACAUUCGUGUAGAUUGUGCUUCAUGCUGUGUUGCCAUGUUUUACCAGCUUUUACACCCACUCAAAGAGAUGCCAAACCUGCUACCGGGUCCUGUAGGUCUACACUAACAAAUGGGAAGGAAGCUUUUGCGAAAGUAAACAAACCGAGAGGAAAAUUAUUAUCAUGUCCGACUAGUAACAAGUACUUUGUAGUACUUUGCAAAUACUCAUUUCGCUUUUUCGUGGCGAAAAGAAUCCGCUUUUAGAGUUGAGCUUUUUAACUAACGCAUUCUCAUGGUGCCGUCCCUCAGUGACACAGUUGUGCGACGGUUAACAAUCAGGAUUCUGCAGUCAAUGUUUCGACUUUAGGGACUACUCAAAUGUUGUACAUGAGAAGGAUGAAAGCAGAGAACAUAAAAAAAUAAAAGGUAAGCAGGUUAAGACCGUACGUUGUGUUGGAAAAUGCAUGUAGAGUUUCGGGAAGUAUUUCAUGUUCCGCCAGUGUUGUUGUGCCAAUCACCGACGCCCAGGGAGGCGACUCCACCCAGGACCCUGACUUACGGUUAACGGUGCUAACGGCUUUACUCCCUCAUGCGAUGGAAGGCGUGAUCCCAGAGAUUUUUCGCCUCAGAAAAUCUCCCUGUGUCAGCUAGGAUUGAGUCUAGACCAUUUGGGUUGUUUGUGAGUGGAUCACGCCAUCCUACAAUCAUCGACACCUAUGUCGGCAUUGGGAUUCGAACCCAGGCGUCGAGCGCUAGAUUCCCGCAGAGUAAUUUCUUAUUAAUUACAUUGAUAAACACCUUAAAAUCAAUAAAUAAAAUCCACAGUGUCACAGAUAAGAAACCUUUAUGAAAUUAUACAUCAUUUUUCUUUUUAU